CCUACGGGUGGCAGCAGUGAGGAAUAUUGGUCAAUGGACGAGAGUCUGAACCAGCCAAGUAGCGUGAAGGAUGACUGCCCUAUGGGUUGUAAACCUCUUUUAUAUGGGAAUAAAAUGUUCCACGUGUGGGAUUUUGUAUGUACCAUAUGAAUAAGGAUCGGCUAACUCCGUGCCAGCAGCCGCGGUAAUACGGAGGAUCCGAGCGUUAUCCGGAUUUAUUGGGUUUAAAGGGAGCGUAGGUGGAUUGUUAAGUCAGUUGUGAAAGUUUGCGGCUCAACCGUAAAAUUGCCGUUGAAACUGGCAGUCUUGAGUACAGGAGAGGUAGGCGGAAUGCGUGGUGUAGCGGUGAAAUGCUUAGAUAUCACGAAGAACUCCGAUUGCGAAGGCAGUUCACUGGACUGCAACUGACACUGAGGCACGAAAGUGUGGGUAUCAAACAGGAUUAGAUACCCUAGUAGUC
rnacentral:rRNA from 1 species